UCGAGAAUUUUUCACAAUGGGCGAAAGCCUGAUGGAGCGACGCCGCGUGGGGGAUGAAUGGCUUCGGCCCGUAAACCCCUGUCAUUUGCGAUCAACCGUUAUUAUUUAAAAGAUGAUAACCUGAUAGUAGCGAAAGAGGAAGGGACGGCUAACUCUGUGCCAGCAGCCGCGGUAAUACAGAGGUCCCAAGCGUUGUUCGGAUUUACUGGGCGUAAAGGGUGCGUAGGUGGCGGUGUAAGUCGGAUGUGAAAUCUUCGAGCUCAACUCGGAAACUGCAUUGGAAACUACAUUGCUCGAGGGUUGGAGGGGGGACUGGAAUACUUGGUGUAGCAGUGAAAUGCGUAGAUAUCAAGUGGAACACCAGUGGCGAAGGCGAGUCCCUGGACAGCUCCUGACACUGAGGCACGAAAGCUAGGGGAGCAAACAG
rnacentral:rRNA from 1 species